rnacentral:rRNA from 1 species
UACGUAGGUGGCAAGCGUUAUCCGGAUUUAUUGGGCGUAAAGGGAACGCAGGCGGUCCUUUAAGUCUGAUGUGAAAGCCUUCGGCUUAACCGGAGUAGUGCAUUGGAAACUGGGAGACUUGAGUGCAGAAGAGGAGAGUGGAACUCCAUGUGUAGCGGUGAAAUGCGUAGAUAUAUGGAAGAACACCAGUGGCGAAAGCGGCUCUCUGGUCUGUAACUGACGCUGAGGUUCGAAAGCGUGGGUAGCAAACAGG